AUAAUGUAAUGUCCAUCGACGUAAUUUGAGCAACGUAGCAAAUAUUCGAUGUAAUGACGAAAUUCGAAUGUAUAAUGACAUCCAUUUGGAUGUAAUUCUACAUCUCCUUGAAAUUACACAGGUUUAGAACUACCAGUUUCCAUUUACGUUGCAAGUGUGUAAUAUUCGCAUGUCAAGCGAUGAAUAUUACACACAAUCAUGUGCAACCCACUUAUUCAAAAGUUGUAGUGUGAAAUUACACAACUUUGAAUGUGAUAUCACAAUAGUUUACUACGCAAUAUUGUAUAUUGGCAACACUGACCUUUUUCGCUUUUCGUCAUUCGUCAUCGUUUUUCAUCAGUACGCCAUUUUUGUUUGGUUGUUUGCUGCCUUUGCUGCAUUUGCUGCGGUUGCUUUUACGGUUGCUGAAUUUCAAUUUAAAAAAAGCAGACAUUUGGUGCGCGAAAAGGUCGAGCAUCCCUUGUUAACUAAAUUUGAGAUCUAGAUCGCAGAACUGGAUAAACGACACUCCUGUUAAUCACAACGCGGGAACGGAAUUCAUUUGGAAUGGAACAAAAUUAAUUGCCCGCGAUGAGCAACAUUCAUCAUUUGGAAUUCCUGGUUCCGAUUUCAAAAACCUCAGGCCCGGCAGAUAAAAAUAAACCGGAUGACGAUCCAGUGCUAAACGAUGGAAACAGUUUUGCGAAUCGUUGGCAAAGGGAUGGUACAAACUCGGGAACAAAGGCAACAUAGCCGAAACUGGACGAUUAUUUUGCAGCAGGCAGAAGGAAUUAGAUAUCGCCGAAUGUAGCGAAAAAUUGUCUAGAACGGUUCAUCUCCAUCAACGAGUCUAAUCAAAGGCGUCAAGCAUGCGAGAUUCUUCCGGCUCAAGAACAAUUUAUGCCUCGCUGACAGACGUUCGGUUACUACAUAUCCAGGAGCAUAGAUGCCGGCUUUGGCAUAGUUUGCGGUUUCGAAGCGCCUCCGAACGCGAAGGGAUUCCAGCAAGACAUGAGCCACCCUGGGUCUGCGGAUCGAUACUGGAUUCCUGAUAUUUUUCAAUAUACUUGCUUCAAUAUGUAUCGCCGUUGCAUUUGAUCUAUCGGGGAUAGAUCUGCUGAUGCAGUAAAAAAAAUAAAGUAUGUUUUUAU